UUAAAUUCAUAAUUUUCUAAAUACAUUGAUAUAUUUAACUUAAGGAGUGAAUAAUGAUGAUACGUAUAACUCAAAGUGCCAGUUUCCUUUGCAAUGUCAUUACUGCCAAAGGAAAAAAUGAGCAAAGUUUGCUUAAGUCAUAAAGUAUAUAUAAUGCUUAAAAUUAUCUGGCCAUUCAAAUUUUGACUUGUUCUCCUUUGAAGAUAGAUUUAUGUCGAUACUCUUUGAUACAUACUUGAAUAUCUGAUCAUGGACAUAAACAGAUGGCAACGAAAGAGCUCUUAAUUAUUUUUUUAUUUUUUGGGAGAAUAG